rnacentral:rRNA from 1 species
GAUGAACGCUGGCGGCGUGCUUAACACAUGCAAGUCGAACGAUGAAGCCCAGCUUGCUGGGUGGAUUAGUGGCGAACGGGUGAGUAACACGUGAGUAACCUGCCCUUAACUCUGGGAUAAGCCUGGGAAACUGGGUCUAAUACCGGAUAGGAGCGCCUACCGCAUGGUGGGUGUUGGAAAGAUUUAUCGGUUUUGGAUGGACUCGCGGCCUAUCAGCUUGUUGGUGAGGUAAUGGCUCACCAAGGCGACGACGGGUAGCCGGCCUGAGAGGGUGACCGGCCACACUGGGACUGAGACACGGCCCAGACUCCUACGGGAGGCAGCAGUGGGGAAUAUUGCACAAUGGGCGAAAGCCUGAUGCAGCGACGCCGCGUGAGGGACGACGGCCUUCGGGUUGUAAACCUCUUUCAGUAGGGAAGAAGCGAAAGUGACGGUACCUGCAGAAGAAGCACCGGCUAACUACGUG